rnacentral:tRNA from 1 species
GCUGCCAUCGUCUAGCGGCCAGGAUGCCCGGUUCUCAGCCGGGAUGACGCCGGUUCGAAUCCGGCUGGCAGCACCG